rnacentral:rRNA from 1 species
CUACGGGAGGCACCAGGCGAGAAAACUUUGCAAUGUGCGAAAGCACGACAAGGUUAAUCCGAGUGGUUUGUGCUAAACGAACCUUUUGACAGUCCUAGAAACACUGUUGAAUAAGGGGUGGGCAAGUUCUGGUGUCAGCCGCCGCGGUAAAACCAGCACCUCAAGUGGUCAGGAUGAUUAUUGGGCCUAAAGCAUCCGUAGCCGGCUCUGUUAGUUUUCGGUUAAAUCUGUACGCUCAACGUACAGGCCGCCGGGAAUACUGCAGAGCUAGGGAGUGGGAGAGGUAGACGGUACUCGGUAGGAAGGGGUAAAAUCCUUUGAUCUAUUGAUGACCACCUGUGGCGAAGGCGGUCUACCAGAACACGUCCGACGGUGAGGGAUGAAAGCUGGGGGAGCAAACCGGAUUAGAUACCCUAGUAGUC